CCUACGGGGUGCAGCAGUGGGGAAUAUUGCACAAUGGGCGAAAGCCUGAUGCAGCAACGCCGCGUGAGCGAAGAAGGCCUUUGGGUCGUAAAGCUCUGUUGGAAGGGAAGAAACAAAUGACGGUACCUUCUGAGGAAGCCCCGGCUAACUACGUGCCAGCAGCCGCGGUAAUACGUAGGGGGCAAGCGUUAUCCGGAAUUAUUGGGCGUAAAGAGUGCGUAGGUGGUCUUGUAAGCGUGGGGUGAAAGGCAGUGGCUUAACCAUUGUAAGCCCUGCGAACUGUGAGACUUGAGUGCAGGAGAGGAAAGCGGAAUUCCUAGUGUAGCGGUGAAAUGCGUAGAUAUUAGGAGGAACACCAGUGGCGAAGGCGGCUUUCUGGACUGUAACUGACACUGAGGCACGAAAGCGUGGGGAGCAAACAGGAUUAGAUACCCCCGUAGUC
rnacentral:rRNA from 1 species